UCAAGCUAAAAAGGGCGCAAGGUGAAUGCCUUGGCACUGGGAGCCGAUGAAAGACGUGGUAAGCUGCGAAAAGCUUCGGGGAGGAGCAAACAUCCAUUGAUCCGGAGAUAUCUGAAUGGGGCAACCCAAUGGAGUUCAUACUCCAUUAUCCAAUACUGAAUCCAUAGGUAUUGGAAGGGAACCGCCUGAACUGAAACAUCUAAGUAGGGCGAGGAAGAGACAUCAAACGAGAUUCCGUAAGUAGUGGCGAGCGAACGCGGAAGAGGGCAAACCGAGAGGAGAAAUCCUUUCGGGGUACGGACUGCUUUUAGGACUGGAAGAGUUAACAGAAUGGCAUGGGAAGGCCAACCGAAGAGUGUGAGAGUCACGUAAGUAAAAAUUCUGACAGCUGCGCAGGAUCCAGAGUACGGCCAGACACGUGAAACCUGGUCGGAAUAUGGGGGGACCACCCUCCAACCCUAAAUACUACCCAGUGACCGAUAGCGUAUAGUACUGUGAAGGAAAGGUGAAAAGCACCCCGGGAGGGGAGUGAAAAAGAACCUGAAACCCUGUGCCUACAAGCACCUAGAGCACGUCAAUGUGUGAUAGGGUACUUUUUGUAGAACGGUCCGGCGAGCGAUUGUAUGCAGCAAGGUUAAGGACUUAAGGUCUGGAGCCGAAGCGAAAGCGAGUUUGAAAAGGGCGUUAAGUUGCAUAUAAUGGGCCCGAAACCGGGUGACCUACCCAUGGUCAGGUUGAAGUGGAAGUAAAAUUCCAUGGAGGACCGAACCGACCUCCGUUGAAAAGGCGGCGGAUGAACUGUGGGUAGCGGAGAAAUUCCAAUCGAACCCGGAGAUAGCUGGUUCUCCCCGAAAUAGUUUUAGGACUAGCCUCAAGUUAGAUACCUGGAGGUAAAGCACUGAAUAGCCUAGCGGCCGAGAGGUUAGCGAAGCUUAUCAAACUCAGAAUGCCAGAGUAUUGAUGCUUGGGAGUCAGACAGUGUCAGAUAAAUGUCAUUGUCAAAAGGGAAACAGCCCAGAUCUACAGCUAAGGUCCCAAAGUCAGGUUAAGUGGAAAACGAUGUGAAGAUACGUAGACAACCAGGAUGUUGGCUCAGAAGCAGCCACACAUUCAAAGAGUGCGUAAUAGCUCACUGGUCGAGCGUCUUUGCGCGGAGAAUUUAACGGGGCUAAACCUGACACCGAAGCUUAGGCAAUACAGCAAUGUAUUGGGUAGGGGAGCGUUGUAUACGCGGUGAAACAGUAGCGCAAGCGGCUGUGGAGUGUAUAGAAGUGAGAAUGCCGGAAUGAGUAGCGCGAAUGCAGUGAGAAUCUGCAUGGCCGAAAGCCUCAGGUUUCUGGAGGAAGGUUCGUCCGCUCCAGGUUAGUCGGGAGCUAAGGUGAGGCCUAACGGCGUAGCCGAUGCACAGACGGUAGAGAUUCCGUCACCACCAAAAGAGUUAAACACAGGGACACAUUUGAAGUCUCGGAGCCGGGUGUUGGUUCCGGUAGCGAUCGAGGGAAGUUAGUACCGAAGUCCGGGAUGGAAGAUGGCGAGAAAAGCUGUGUGUAUUUCUGCGGUGCCCGUACCGCAAACCGACACAGGUAGGUAGGAAGAAGAUUCUAAGGCCAACGGGAGAAGGGUUGUUAAGGAACUCGGCAAAUUGACCCCGUAACUUCGGGAGAAGGGGUGCUCCAGAGAUGGAGCCGCAGAGAAUCGGCCCAAGCAACUGUUUACCAAAAACACAGGUUUGUGCUAAAUCGAAAGAUGACGUAUACGAGCUGACGCCUGCCCGGUGCUGGAAGGUUAAGAGGAGAUGUGCAAGCAUUGAAUCGAAGCCCCAGUGAACGGCGGCCGUAACUAUAACGGUCCUAAGGUAGCGAAAUUCCUUGUCAGGUAAG
rnacentral:rRNA from 1 species